AAGGAUUCCCCUAGUAACGGCGAGUGAAGCGGGAAGAGCUCAAAUUUGUAAUCUGGCGGCCUCAGGUCGUCCGAGUUGUAGUCUAGAGAAGCGUCUUCCGUGCCGGACCGUGUACAAGUCCCUUGGAACGGGGCGUCGUAGAGGGUGAGAAUCCCGUCUUUGACACGGACCGCCGGUGCUCUGUGAUGCGCUCUCGAAGAGUCGAGUUGUUUGGGAAUGCAGCUCAAAACGGGUGGUAAAUUCCAUCUAAAGCUAAAUACGGGCGAAAGACCGAUAGCGAACAAGUACCGUGAGGGAAAGAUGAAAAGCACUUUGGAAAGAGAGUUAAACAGUACGUGAAAUUGUUGAAAGGGAAACGCUUGGAGUCAGUCGCGUCUGGCGGGAGUCAGCCGGGUCGUCCGACCCGGUGUAUUUCCCGUCGUCUGACGGGCCAGCAUCGAUUUCGACCGUCGGAGAAGGGCUUUUGGGAAGGUGGCACCUCCGGGUGUGUUAUAGCCCUGGGUCGUAUACGACGGUGGGGAUCGAGGACCGCAGCGCGCCCCUUUGCGGGGGCCGGGGUUCGCCCACGUAACGCGCUUAGGAUGCUGGCGUAAUGGCUUUAAGUGACCCGUCUUG
rnacentral:rRNA from 1 species